rnacentral:rRNA from 1 species
UACGAAGGGGGCUAGCGUUGCUCGGAAUCACUGGGCGUAAAGCGCACGUAGGCGGCUUUCUAAGUCAGGGGUGAAAUCCUGGAGCUCAACUCCAGAACUGCCUUUGAUACUGGAGAGCUUGAGUCCGGAAGAGGUGAGUGGAACUCCGAGUGUAGAGGUGAAAUGCGCAGAUAUCAGGAGGAACACCAAUGGCGAAGGCAGCUCGCUGGGACGGUACUGACGCUGAGGUGCGAAAGCGUGGGGAGCAAACAGG